CCAGGGUAAGUCGGGACCUAAGGCGAGGCCGACAGGCGUAGUCGAUGGACAACUGGUUGAUAUUCCAGUACCCGCUUUAUACCGCCCAUGGCGAAUCACCAAUGCUAAGUGCCUGAAAGGAGACCGGGUUUACCUGGUUGAAUGGAGCGCGCGACCCAAGGUGGUAGUAGUCAAGCAAUGGAGGGACGCAGGAAGGUAGUUCAACCCAGGCGAUGGUUGUCCUGGGGUAAGGGAGUAGGACGGAAUGUAGGCAAAUCCGCAUUCCACAUGUCUGAGACCUGAUGCCGAGCCGUAUGGCGAAGUGAAUGAUCCUAUGCUGCCAAGAAAAUCUUCUAGCGAGGUAUAAAACGGCCCGUACCCGAAACCGACUCAGGUGUUCAGGUAGAGAAUACCAAGGUGAUCGAGAGAAUCGUGGUGAAGGAACUCGGCAAAAUACCCCCGUAACUUCGGGAGAAGGGGGGCCAAUUUGUGUGUAGGGAUUUACUCCCGUAGCGCGAGUUGGCUGCAAAGAAUAGUCUCAAGCGACUGUUUACCAAAAACACAGGUCCGUGCGAAGUUGCAAAACGAUGUAUACGGACUGACGCCUGCCCGGUGCUGGAACGUUAAGGGGACGGGUUAGUGCCUUCGGGUGCGAAGCUCAGAACUUAAGCGCCAGUAAACGGCGGUGGUAACUAUAACCAUCCUAAGGUAGCGAAAUUCCUUGUCGGGUAAGUUCCGACCUGCACGAAUGGCGUAACGACUUGAGAACUGUCUCCACCGCGAACUCGGCGAAAUUGCAUUACGAGUAAAGAUGCUCGUUACGCGCAGAAAGACGGAAAGACCCCGGGACCUUUACUAUAUCUUGAUAUUGGUACUCGGAACGUUUUGUGUAGCAUAGGUGGGAGACUUUGAAGCGGCACGCCAGUGUUCGUGGAGUCAUCAUUGAAAUACCACUCUGAACGUUUUGAGUUUCUAACCUCGGUCCAUUAUCUGGAUCAGGGACAGUGUCUGGUGGGUAGUUUAACUGGGGCGGUUGCCUCCUAAAAAGUAACGGAGGCGCUCAAAGGUUCCCUCAGUCUGGUUGGCAAUCAGAUGUCGAGUGUAAGUGCACAAGGGAGCUUAACUGUGAGACAGACAUGUCGAGCAGGUGCGAAAGCAGGAACUAGUGAUCCGGCGGUGGCUUGUGGAAGCGCCGUCGCUCAACGGAUAAAAGGUACCCCGGGGAUAACAGGCUGAUCUUGCCCAAGAGUCCAUAUCGACGGCAUGGUUUGGCACCUCGAUGUCGGCUCGUCGCAUCCUGGGGCUGGAGUAGGUCCCAAGGGUUGGGCUGUUCGCCCAUUAAAGCGGCACGCGAGCUGGGUUCAGAACGUCGUGAGACAGUUCGGUCCCUAU
rnacentral:rRNA from 1 species